AUGGCGAACAACGGGCUCAUCGCUGAGAAGGACCCGCUUUUCUGGGGUGCGGCGGCGGCCGAGCUCACCGGCAGCCACCUCGACGAGGUCAAGCGCAUGGUGGCACACUUCCGCGAGCCUGUCGUCAGGAUCGUGGGCGCCGGCCUCAGCGUCGGCCAGGUGGCUGCCGUCGCCCAGGCCAAGGAUGUGUCCAGCGUCACCGUCGAGCUCGCCGACGAGGCGCGCGCCCGCGUCAAGGCCUGCAGCGAGUGGAUCCUGGACUCCGUGGCCAACGGCGGCGACAUCUACGGCGUCACUACGGGCUUCGGUGGCACCUCCCACCGUCGCACCAAAGAUGGGCACGGCCUCCAAGUUGAGCUCGUCAGGCAUCUCAUUGCUGGCAUAUUCGGCACCGGCAGUGACCACGAGAUGCCAUCGGAGGUUACACGUGCGUCUAUGCUCGUGCGCAUCAACACCCUCCUCCAGGGCUUCUCCGGCAUACGUUUCGAGAUCCUUGAGGCCAUCACAAAGCUCAUCAACAAAGGAGUGCACCCGAGGAUUCCCCUCCGGGGCAGCAUCACCGCGAGUGGCGACGUGGUCCCGCUUGCUUACAUCGCCGGUGUUCUCACCGGACGCCCAAACGCACAGGCAAUUACCCAUGAUGGUAGGAAGGUGGAUGCCGCCGAGGCAUUCAAGAUUGCCGGGAUAGAUGGUGGCUUCUUCAAGCUGAACCCCAAGGAAGGGUUGGCCAUCGUAAAUGGCACGGCUGCAGCCGCCGCCCUUGCAGCAAUGGUACUGUUCGAUUGCAACAUCUUCGCUGUCCUAUCCGAGGUUUUUUCUGCGAUGUUUUGUGAGGUGAUGUAUGGCAAAUCAGAGUUUGCCGACCAUCUAAUCCACAAGCUGAAACAUCACCCCGGCACGAUCGAGGCCGCGGCUAUCAUGGAACACAUUCUGGCUAGCAGCCCGUUCAUGGUCCACGGCAAGAUGGUGAACGACAUGGACCCACACCUCAAGCCGAAGCAGGACAGAUAUGCGAUCCGCACCGCGCCACAGUGGCUUGGCCCGCAGAUCGAGGUCAUUCGGGCGGCUACCAAGUGUAUUGAGCGUGAGGUGAACUCCAUGAGUGAUAAUCCAGUCAUUGACGUCCACCGUGGCAUUGCACUCCAUGGUGGUAACUUCCAGGGAACACCCAUCGGCGUAUCUAUGGACAACACCCGCCUUGCCAUCGCCAGCAUUGGGAAGCUCAUGUUCGCGCAGUUCUCCGAGCUCGUAAAUGAGUUCUAUAAUAAUGGCCUGACGUCGAACCUAGCUGGAAGCCGCGACCCAAGCUUAGACUAUGGUCUCAAAGGCAUUGAGAUCGCCAUGGCCGCAUACUGCUCGGAGCUCCAAUACCUUGCCAACCCGGUGACAACCCAUGUCCAAAGCGCGGAGCAGCACAACCAGGGGGUGAACUCACUUGGCCUUGUCUCAGCCAGGAAGACUGCAGAGGCGGUGGAGAUGUUGAAGCUCAUGUCCUCGACAUACCUGGUGGCACUUUGCCAGGCCUUCGACCUUCGCCACCUGGAGCAAAACAUCAAGAUCUCUGUCAACAUAUGCGUGGCACAGGCUGCCAAAAAGGUGGUCGACGCAACCAGUGUUGAGAAGAAGCUCGCGGCCGCCAUCGACCGCGUGGACGUUUUUCGCUAUGCCGACGACCCAUGCAGCGCCAACUACCCCCUGAUGCACAAGCUGCAUAGCGUGCUCCUCGAGCACGCUCUUGCUAGUAGGAGCAUCGACGAUGAGGUGUUGUGCAAGAUCAGUAAGCUAGAGGAGGAGCUCAUGAUAGCCCUGCCACGGGAGGUCGAGGCGGCUCGCGUGGCCGUGGAGAAGGGCACCGCACCCAUCUCGAACAUGAUCAUGGGGAGCAGGUCGUUCCCACUCUACCGUUUUGUUCGUGAGGAACUCGGAUGCGUGUUUCUGACAGGGGAGAAGCUUCUCGCGCCCGGUGAAGAGUGUGACAAGGUGUUCGUGGGGAUCAGCCAAGGCAAGCUCAUCGACCCCAUGCUUGAGUGCCUCAAGGAAUGGAACGGUGAGCCUUUGCCCAUCAACUAA
rnacentral:rRNA from 1 species